GUCCCAGCCUGUACGGGAUGCCACAGCUCGCUCUGACACCUCGCCCAGGAGUCGCCCAUUGAUUAAAUCCUUCCUUCGUCAACCCCCAACUAACUGGAAAGGAUCGAGGUGAGAAUGUGAAGAGAAAGCGAGCGCCCAUGGUAAAGAGGGAAAUGCUGGGAGGAUGGUGCUGAAGUGAAAGAUAUCCACCAACCUAGCCAAAGGCAAAACAGGACUGCAACAAACUUCAAAAGGUGCAGCUGAAUAAAAAAGCAGGAAUGCUCUGAAGACAUGCUAAAAUAUCAGAACAUUUUAAGAGUAAGAAGAUCCUGGAAGAUGAGACUAUUAUGAAAGCAAGGAGACUUUGAUUACAGUGCUACAGAAUGAGAAGACUCUGAAGGGAAGGAAAAUGAACCUCUAUUGACUUCAAAGCUCAAACCAACAAGAAACACAGAAUUGGGAAUACUUUGACAAUAAGAAGGAUAAACUUGGCCAGGUCAGUCCGGAGCAAUUGUCUGCAGGAAUGGCAAUUCUGUUUGGGUCAUUGCCAUUACCUCAACCAUUUAAUAACAUGAAAACCUCACAAUAAGUCCAGAAGUACAAACUUUGGAAGCAGUUGCAAAACUAUAUCACUCACACUCUCUCCCUCCUUCCCUGCCUGCUCACAAAAUAUUUGUAAAUUUCCAACGGUACUAUUUUGCCAUUUUGAAUUUGUUCAUGGUAACCAUUGUCUCAUCACAGCAAAACCUCCCCAAAGUGUGUCCUCCAAUUCCCCAACAAUAAAGACUA